rnacentral:rRNA from 1 species
CCUACGGGAGGCAGCAGUGGGGAAUAUUGCACAAUGGGCGCAAGCCUGAUGCAGCCAUGCCGCGUGUAUGAAGAAGGCCUUCGGGUUGUAAAGUACUUUCAGCAGUGAGGAAGGUGGGUAUGUUAAUAGCAUACUCAUUUGACGUUAGCUGCAGAAGAAGCACCGGCUAACUCC